UACGGGGGGGGGCAAGCGUUGUUCGGAAUUACUGGGCGUAAAGGGCUCGUAGGCGGUUUGUCGCGUCGAAUGUGAAAACCCGGGGCUCAACCCCGGGCCUGCAUUCGAUACGGGCAGACUAGAGUUCGGUAGGGGAGUCUGGAAUUCCUGGUGUAGCGGUGAAAUGCGCAGAUAUCAGGAGGAACACCGGUGGCGAAGGCGGGACUCUGGGCCGAUACUGACGCUGAGGAGCGAAAGCGUGGGGAGCAAACAGG
rnacentral:rRNA from 1 species